rnacentral:rRNA from 1 species
GUGCCAGCCGCCGCGGUAAGACGAACCGAGCGAACGUUGUUCGGAAUCACUGGGCUUAAAGGGCGCGUAGGCGGGUGUUCAAGUCCGUGGUGAAAUCCUCCAGCUCAACUGGAGAACUGCCUCGGAUACUGAAUGUCUCGAGGGUGGCAGGGGUAUGCGGAACUAUCGGUGGAGCGGUGAAAUGCGUUGAUAUCGAUAGGAACUCCGGUGGCGAAGGCGGCAUACUGGUCCACUUCUGACGCUGAGGCGCGAAAGCCAGGGGAGCAAACGGGAUUAGAUACCCUUGUAGUCC